AGACUUACCUGGCAGGGGAGGCACCAGGAUCAGGCAGCUGGUUUUCCCAAGGCAGGGUUCAUCCCCUGCACUCUGGGUGUCCUGACCCCUGGGAUUUCCCAAAAUGCAGGCUGCAUAAUUUGUAGUAACAGAGGACUACUGUAGCAGGGGCCUUGG
ensembl:snRNA U1 U1 spliceosomal RNA